UAGGAAAUAGUAUAAUGGAAGUACGAAGGGUUUUGAGCUCUUGUGUGCAGGUUCGUAUCCUGUUUUUCUAG
rnacentral:tRNA from 1 species